ensembl:lncRNA
GUGCCAAACGUUUUUGUCUAACCUCACACCUCCGUUUAAUUGUCUUUGUGACCAUUUGACCUUUGACCCUACAAAUGUCACAUACUCCAUUACACAUAAUACGCAUUGCAAAACCUGCAUAACUAUUAACAAGUCAGCCAUAUUCUUGUGAAUCAGAAAUAGCAAAGAACUGUUAGAGACAUGCGUCAUUACUUUAAAAUGGUCAUCAAAGCGAAUUUAGGGGAAGUCCCGAUGACGUCUACCGCAUCUCAUAAGAGGAAGCGGAAGAUGCACCAUGCCUGGGCACCAUGCGUCUAAAAUCAGUUUUGUCAUCUCGAUUUAUAGGAAACAUCCUCACAAAAAUGGCUAUUCUGCUUGGACUUUUUUCUGCUCUCCUGUUUGGUAAGCUUUAUAUAUUUUUAUGCAAAGCCUGUGUGUUUACAUUAAAGAAACAAAGUCAGCUGGUUUCUGUGGGAUUGGGUUUGAAACUCAUAUUAAACAUGGCUGUUUGUUGCAUCAUCGAAAAGUCCAAUACCGGUGUUUGAGACUCAUUAACUGCUUUCUUUUUUUUUUUUUUUACAUUUUAGUGUCUGAAGCCAUAUUUGUGUACAAUGUCAACUCAACCAUCAUGGACUCAGCACUCCUGGGAUGUAGCGUACCAGUUAAAACAGACUUGAAAAAUCUUCGCUUUUACUGGCAGGAUGAAAGGAAGGCUGUUUUGUACUCUUUCAAUAAAGGAAAGACAAUGUUCACGCAUGUAAAAGACCCUUAUCUGAACAGGACCGCGGCCUUCACCCAGGAAAUGACGAAAGGAAAUAUUUCAGUCCUAGUCAAGAAUUUGACUCUUGGAGAUAAUGGGAGGAUAUUUGAAGCUUACGCUGCAGUUUUUAAUGGUUCGGAGACAGUGAUGCAGACCUCAAAAGUUUGCCAUGCAAAUUUGUAUGUAACAGUGCCUUACAAGCACCUCAAGCUGGCUGUAAACACUAAAACAAUGACUUCAGUGUGCACGCUGCAUGGUGUAUUUCCAGCUCCUGAGAUACGCUGGACCAUCCACUACAACCACUCUGAAUCCUUGGUUGAGUCGAAGCAUGUCCACACUAAGACAGAGCAGGAUCCUGAAAACUAUUUGUACACCUCUAGCAGCACUCUCCACAUCCCUGCAGAUCAUUACCGAGCCAUUACCUGUCUGUGCCACAACCCCACUUCAAAUACGACUCUGAACGCCACUUAUACUUUAAGCAAAGGUGCAGCAGUGUGGAGUUUACCUGGCCGGACUGCAGGUCUCAUAGUGGCUGCUGCAGUUCUUCUAACAGCUCUGCAGCAGCUGUAGUUCACACAUGAUGGCCUGGUUUUGGUGGUGGACGACUUCAGCUGGUCUAGGAUAUUCAAAGUACACCAAAUGUGAACCAAAAUAAGCGACUGAGUCCAUGAAAUCAGAAGGAAAGAGAUUACAGAGGUCAAGAUGACCAAAGCUUAUCGCCAUCUGGUGGAGAGAAAGCAGAUUUAAGUCACGUCCACACUGGCUUCAGUUUACUGAUCUUGAAGAUAUGUCCAUGUUUUUUGCUGUUUGUGGAUGUUAUUAUUCAUGAACAUGAUUAAUAACCCACCAUGAAUUUAUCAACCAACCUUCUGCAUCUUUUCAUA